rnacentral:tRNA from 1 species
GUCAGUUUGGCCGAGAGGUUAAGGCGAUAGACUCGAAUCUAGUUACAAACAAGAACGAGGUCAUCUAUUGGGCUAUGCCCGCGUCGGUUCAAAUCCGGCAGCUGACG